UUCGAUUCCAACACCUUGUUUGGUGGAACUAGGACUUCCCGAGGGCUCGGGAUAGGUUUUGAGGCUAGGUUAUGGACUUGAGGGUUGGUUAUGACUUUAGUCUAUGAUUGUGGCUAGGUUCGCACUAGGGCUCGGGAAGGAUCGUGCUUGAGGAUCACAGUGAACAAAGCCAGCCAAUCCAAAGGUAAGAAAACUGCACCCGGUUAUAUGUUUGUGAUGGGACUAAGAGCUCCCGAUAUCUGUAUAAUGUCAAUGAUGGUAUUAUGCCAUGGGACAUGUGAUAGUGGCCUAAGGUGCCGUACACAAUAUUUGCGCACAGGGCGCGGCUUGGCCACUGGUAGCCGAGGACAGCUUAAUAUUCACUGAGCUCGGUUUAAGCGGGCCAGAGUUAGUGGGAUAACGGAGGGUGCGGCCUUAGGGCACUAACCCUAGUUAUCAUUUAUGAAUUGAUGUAUGAUAUGAGUUGAUAUGUUUGGUAUGCUGAAUACUUGGUUAUUCUGAAUGUUUAAAUGGUUGAGAACAUGUUUAUGGAAUAUGGGAUAUUGAAUUAUCUGUUGAUUGCUUAUGCUCUGUUGUUGUGUUUUCUUGUUGGGCCUUGGCUCACGGGUGCUACAUGGUGCAGGUAAAGGCAAAGGCAAAGGCAAGUUAGACCAGUGCUGAAAUGGAGAGCUGCGGGGCUGAAUGUACAUAGCUAGCUGUUCGGUCGCCAUGGCCGAGGAGUGGAUCAGGACAAAGAUUGCCUUAAUAUGGCUAAUACUGUAUUUAAUUCUUGAAUCUUUUGUAAAUGGUUUUAAUCUUAAUAUUUUUGGGAUCCCGUGUAAACAGGAAAUGUUUCUUUAUAAGAAAUGUGACUUUUAAGACCAAAACAUUUUAACCCUAGUUCCAUUAUAGUUUCAGAAACACGUUCUUAAUUAAAUGACUUGAUUAGCAAGUCUAGCACUUUUAUAAACACACAGUGUUACGGUCUUGGCUAUCCAGGACGUUAUAGGAGUUUUCCAAUCCCGUUCUUGCCUCCAAUAUCCUGGUUUUUGAUGGUGCAGGAAAAUGAGCUUGGAAGGCGGGAUUGAUUCGUGGCAGCUUAGCAUGUGUAUUGGGGAUGGAUUGAUUGAAUGGACUGCUGGAAGAUCGAGGAUGACGUUGUUUCAAGUCUUUUAAUUUAUGUUCUUUUGUAUUUUCACACUUAGUUUUUAAACAAUUAAAGUUUACGAUUAUGUUUUUUUUAAACAAUGAGAUCCCAUACCAUACUUUGUAUUCUGCACUGUAUUUUGGAUUUUUAAUAAAGUUCUAUUAUUUCUUGAAUGUAUU